GCUCUCUGUGUGCAGAGUGUGAACAUCUCUCGCAGCCUUUGAAGUGUCGAGCAGCUUACUGGAAAGACAUGCUAAUUCCUCACAAGAGAAUCCUCGAUUUACAAAAGAAUCUAAUUCCAGGAUCCUCCACAGAAUCAUACUCUGCAGGCUGCCUUCAGACUGCAACUGGAAUGCUGACUCUCCUAGAUCUCCAGUCUUCCAGCCCACCCUGCAGACUUUGGACUUGCCAGCCUCCAUAAUCAUG